AUGAACGCUGGCGGCGUGCCUAAUACAUGCAAGUCGAGCGAACAGACGAGGAGCUUGCUCCUCUGACGUUAGCGGCGGACGGGUGAGUAACACGUGGAUAACCUACCUAUAAGACUGGGAUAACUUCGGGAAACCGGAGCUAAUACCGGAUAAUAUAUUGAACCGCAUGGUUCACUAGUGAAAGACGGUUUUGCUGUCACUUAUAGAUGGAUCCGCGCCGCAUUAGCUAGUUGGUAAGGUAACGGCUUACCAAGGCAACGAUGCGUAGCCGACCUGAGAGGGUGAUCGGCCACACUGGAACUGAGACACGGUCCAGACUCCUACGGGAGGCAGCAGUAGGGAAUCUUCCGCAAUGGGCGAAAGCCUGACGGAGCAACGCCGCGUGAGUGAUGAAGGUCUUCGGAUCGUAAAACUCUGUUAUUAGGGAAGAACAAAUGUGUAAGUAACUAUACACGUCUUGACGGUACCUAAUCAGAAAGCCACGGCUAACUACGUG
rnacentral:rRNA from 1 species